rnacentral:rRNA from 1 species
UACGUAGGAUGCGAGCGUUGUCCGGAAUUAUUGGGCGUAAAGAGAACGUAGGCGGUUUCUUAAGUUUGGUCUUAAAGACCGGGGCUCAACCCCGGGAAUGGAUCGAAAACUGGGAGACUGGAGGAUGUCAGAGGAAAGUGGAAUUCCGAGUGUAGCGGUGAAAUGCGUAGAUAUUCGGAGGAACACCAGUGGCGAAAGCGACUUUCUGGGGCAUUCCUGACGCUGAGGUUCGAAAGCUCGGGGAGCAAACAGG